CAACUGCGCAUGCACUGAACGGGAAAGGUGACAACGUGAAUUGUUAAUCACAUUGAGAUACAGUUUAAUCUUUUAAUAUUACCUUUACCUAUUCAUCUUGUGUGUGAAUGUGAGGGCCGGUCACAGGUACAACCCAGAGAUAUAUCAGAGGUCAGAGAACAACUCACAGGAGUCAAUUCUCCCCUUCUGUCAUGUGGCUUCCUGGGACUGGAUGUAGGGUGCGCACACUUCAGUGAUACACUUUUUCCUUUUUGAUUGUUUUUGCACUUUUUGCUUUGUCUUGGUUUGGUUUUUUUGAAACAGGGUUUCUCAAUUGGCCAUGCUGGCAACAUGACUUAUCUAGAGCCACAGAUUUAAAUGAAACUCUCUCUCUUGUUUUCAACGGAAUAAACUGUUCUCUCCCUUAGCAGUUUAACAGUUCCCUUCUUUCCGUUGCGUGUUUGAAGACCACCUUGACAUGUGAUGCAGAAACAUUCUGCUUUUGGGGGUUCAAGGAAGGCACACCCCAUCUGCCUCUGGCCUGCCCACUGUGCUCACUUGGAAACGCAGAGAGGCAGAUGUCACUGUCAGAAUGAGGAAAGGGUGGGGCUAAAGAUGUCCCACACCUGAAUUACACUUCCAUAUAAGCCAGGACAAGCCUUGCUGCCGCAGUCAGGGCCUGCACACCACAACAUCUGCAACAGCAGCUAGGAUUAGUAUCAAUAAUUACAAAAUAGAACACUGCUGUAAUAAAAGAUGUUGAAACUUGCAAUUUUUUUUUAUUUCUAGAACUUUCCAUCUGACAUUUUCAGACCAUGGUUGACCAGACAUAACUGAAAUGGUGGCUAAGAGGGCAAGGACUACUGCAUGUUAAAAGCCAAUAUUUCCUCCACGGUCACCAUCACAGACUUGGCAGGACUCACGUCCUGUUGACAAGUUCAGCUUCAGUGGGACAAACAGCAAGCUGACAUUCUGGAAGACAGACUGUCCCCCAGGAGGUUCAACAUGGAGGCCAGAGAGGAUGAAUGAGGGCAGAGUGUGUGUAUCCACUUAUUUGUUGAUGAUUACUUGGAGUGUUUAAGAAUGUCACAUUUGGGGCUGGAGAGAUGGCUCAGCGGUUAAGAGCACCCGACUACUCUUCCAGAGGUCCUGAGUUCAAUUCCCAGCAACCACAUGAUGGCUCACAACCAUCUGUAAAGAGAUCUGAUGCCCUCUUCUGGUGUAUCUGAAAACAGCUACAGUG